rnacentral:rRNA from 1 species
UAGAGUUUGAUCAUGGCUCAGAACGAACGCUGGCGGCGUGCUUAACACAUGCAAGUCGAGCGCGAAAGUCCCCUUCGGGGGGCGAGUAGAGCGGCAGACGGGUGAGUAACACGUGGGCAACCUGCCCCUGGGUGAGGGAUAACCACUCGAAAGGGUGGCUAAUACCGCAUAAGACCACGGCUUUUCGGGGCUGGGGUCAAAGGCUUCGGCCGCCUGGGGAGGGGCCCGCGGCCGAUUAGCUAGUUGGUGAGGUAACGGCUCACCAAGGCGACGAUCGGUAGCUGGUCUGAGAGGAUGAUCAGCCACACUGGUACUGAGACACGGACCAGACUCCUACGGGAGGCAGCAGUGGGGAAUAUUGCGCAAUGGGCGAAAGCCUGACGCAGCAACGCCGCGUGGGUGAUGAAGGCCUUCGGGUCGUAAAGCCCCUGUCAGGUGGGAAGAACCCCCUCGCAAGAGGGCUGAC